CGCGGCCUAUCAGCUUGUUGGUGGGGUAAUGGCCUACCAAGGCGACGACAGGUAGCCGGCCUGAGAGGGCGACCGACCACACUGGGACUGAGACACGGCCCAGACUCCUACGGGAGGCAGCAGUGGGGAAUAUUGCACAAUGGGCGAAAGCCUGAUGCAGCGACGCCGCGUGAGGGAUGACGGCCUUCGGGUUGUAAACCUCUUUCAGCAGGGACGAAGCGUAAGUGACGGUACCUGCAGAAGAAGCGCCGGCCGACUACGUGCCAGCAGCCGCGGUAAGACGUAGGGCGCGAGCGUUGUCCGGAUUUAUUGGGCGUAAAGAGCUCGUAGGCGGCUUGUCGCGUCGACUGUGAAAACCCGCAGCUCAACUGCGGGCCUGCAGUCGAUACGGGCAGGCUAGAGUUCGGUAGGGGAGACUGGAAUUCCUGGUGUAGCGGUGGAAUGCGCAGAUAUCAGGAGGAACACCGGUGGCGAAGGCGGGUCUCUGGGCCGAUACUGACGCUGAGGAGCGAAAGCGUGGGGAGCGAACGGGAUUAGAUACCCUGGUAGUCCACGCUGUAAACGUUGGGCGCUAGGUGUGGGGGACCUCUCCGGUUCUCUGUGCCGCAGCUAACGCAUUAAGCGCCCCGCCUGGGGAGUACGG
rnacentral:rRNA from 1 species